UACGUAGGGACCGAGCGUUGUCCGGAUUCAUUGGGCGUAAAGAGCUCGUAGGCGGCUGUUCAAGUCGAACGUGAAAACUCGGAGCUCAACUCCGAGCCUGCGUUCGAUACUGGAUGGCUAGAGUCUGGUAGGGGGAUCUGGAAUUCCUGGUGUAGCGGUGGAAUGCGCAGAUAUCAGGAGGAACACCGGUGGUGUAGACGGCUCUCUGGACAGUAACUGACGCUGAGACACGAAAAGCGUGGGUAGCAAACAGG
rnacentral:rRNA from 1 species